GCGGGCGUAGCUCAAUGGUAGAGCCCCAGCCUUCCAAGCUGGCUACGCGGGUUCGAUUCCCGUCGCCCGCU
rnacentral:tRNA from 1 species